GACGAACGCUGGCGGCGUGCUUAACACAUGCAAGUCGAACGGAAAGGCCCUGCUUUUGUGGGGUGCUCGAGUGGCGAACGGGUGAGUAACACGUGAGUAACCUGCCCUUGACUUUGGGAUAACUUCAGGAAACUGGGGCUAAUACCGGAUAGGAGCUCCUGCUGCAUGGUGGGGGUUGGAAAGUUUCGGCGGUUGGGGAUGGACUCGCGGCUUAUCAGCUUGUUGGUGGGGUAGUGGCUUACCAAGGCUUUGACGGGUAGCCGGCCUGAGAGGGUGACCGGCCACAUUGGUACUGAGAGACGGCCCAGACUCCUACGGGCGGCAGCAGGGGGGAAUAUUGCACAGUGGGCGGAAGCCUGAUGCAGCAACGCCGCGUGCGGGAUGACGGCCUUCGGGUUGUAAACCGCUUUCGCCUGUGACGAAGCGUUAGUGACGGUAAUGGGUAAAGAAGCACCGGCUAACUACGUG
rnacentral:rRNA from 1 species